rnacentral:rRNA from 1 species
UCGGAGCUUGCUCCACCGGAGUGCAAAAGAGGAGUGGGGAACGGCGUGAGUAACACGUGGGUAACCUGCCCAUCAGAAGGGGAUAACACUUGGAAACAGGUGCUAAUACCGUAUAACAAUCGAAACCGCAUGGUUUUGAUUUGAACAGGCGCUUUCGGGUGUCGCUGAUGGAUGGACCCGCGGUGCAUUAGCUAGUUGGUGAGGUAACGGCUCACCAAGGCGACGAUGCAUAGCCGACCUGAGAGGGUGAUCGGCCACAUUGGGACUGAGACACGGCCCAAACUCCUACGGGAGGCAGCAGUAGGGAAUCUUCGGCAAUGGACGAAAGUCUGACCGAAGCAACGCCGCGUGAGUGAAGAAGGUUUUCGGAUCGUUUGAAAACUCUGUUGUUAGAGAAGAACAUUCAGGAUGAGAGUAACUGUUCAUCCCUUGACGGUAUCUAACCAGAAAGCCACGUGCUAACUACGUGCCAGCAGCCGCGGUAAUACGUAGGUGGCAAGCGUUGUCCGGAUUUAUUGGGCGCUAAAGCGAGCGCAGGCGGUUUCUUAAGUCUGAUGUGAAAGCCCCCGGCGUCAACCGGGGAGGGUCAUUGGAAACUGGGAGACUUGAGUGCAGAAGAGGAGAGUGGAAUUCCAUGUGUAGCGGUGAAACUGCGUAGAUAUAUGGAGGAACACCUCAGUGGCGAAGGCGGCUCUCUGGUCUGUAACAUGACGCUGAGAUCGCUCGAAAGCGUGGGGCAGCAAACAGGAUUAGAUACGUUCCUGGGCCUAGUCCACGCCGUCCGUCAAACGAUGAGUGCUAAGUGCACCCGAAGUCGGUGAGGUAACCU